rnacentral:rRNA from 1 species
AUUGAACGCUGGCGGAAUGCUUUACACAUGCAAGUCGAACGGCAGCACGGACUUCGGUCUGGUGGCGAGUGGCGAACGGGUGAGUAUUACAUCGGAACGUGCCCAGUCGUGGGGGAUAACGUAGCGAAAGCUACGCUAAUACCGCAUACGAUCUAAGGAUGAAAGCGGGGGACCGUAAGGCCUCGCGCGAUUGGAGCGGCCGAUGGCAGAUUAGGUAGUUGGUGGGGUAAAGGCCUACCAAGCCGACGAUCUGUAGCUGGUCUGAGAGGACGACCAGCCACACUGGGACUGGGACACGGCCCAGACUCCUACGGGAGGCAGCAGUGGGGAAUUUUGGACAAUGGGCGCAAGCCUGAUCCAGCCAUUCCGCGUGCAGGAUGAAGGCCCUCGGGUUGUAAACUGCUUUUGUACGGAACGAAAAGGCUCUGGUUAAUACCUGGGGCUCAUGACGGUACCGUAAGAAUAAGCACCGGCUAACUACGUGCCAGCAGCCGCGGUAA